rnacentral:rRNA from 1 species
UACGUAGGUGACCAGCGUUGUCCGGAUUUACUGGGCGUAAAGAGCGCGCAGGCGGUCGUUCAAGUCGAGUGUGAAAGCCCCCGGCUCAACUGGGGAGGGUCACUCGAUACUGAUCGACUCGAAGGCAGGAGAGGGAAGCGGAAUUCCCGGUGUAGUGGUGAAGUGCGUUGAUAUCGGGAGGAACACCAGUGGCGAAGGCGGCUUCCUGGCCUGUUCUUGACGCUGAGGCGCGAAAGCUAGGGGAG